AUUUCAGGGGGAAAGAGGAAGACACCAGGAAGUUUUUCACCAGCCAGAGUAUCGCACUCCUACCAAGUGCAUCUCUGCGAAGACAAAACCCCAUAAUGAAAGAAACAUUCUGAGGAUGUUUGCUGAGCUCCAUAAUUGAGAGAAAGAAGUUGGACAAAGACACACCCACAGGGAAAGCACCAUGAGAAGAUGACGGCAGAGAUCUGGGCGACGCGUCUACAAGCCAAGCGACACCAAAGGUGGCCAGCAGCCCAUGUGAAGCUGGAGGAGAGGCCUCGAAUAAAUGCUCCCUUACAGCGUUCAGGGGGAACUGACCCUGUCCACACCUUGACCUUGAACUUCUGGGCUCCAGAACUGUGAGACAGCAUGUUCUGUUGUUGAAGGAGCAGCGUGGCUAGAGGAAUUCCUGCAGCUUAGAUUUCGCUGGCACUGUUACCACUCCCAGAGAGGAGCGGCUGGAGUUCACGGCUGGUUCCUGACAAACUUCCUAAUUAAUCUGCUAAAGAUCAGAGGAGGACUAAUAGGAGCUGAAGACUGUGUGCGAGACCACCCCUCCGCCCUCUCCCUUUGUGUGUGCACGUGUGUGUGUGUGUGUGUGUGAGCGCGUGCGCGCAUGUGGUGCUGAGCUUGGCGGGAGAGAGAUGGCCUCACCAGCGACAAAGCAUUCCUGCUGCUGUUGCUGCCACCUACCUUCCCUGCUUUGGGAGGAUACAUUUUCUCCUCUUGCUUAGAAGUUUCAGGGAGUCACCCAAGCCUUCUUCUCCCAGAUACAACGGUGGAAUAAAAUAUCUUCCAGCCAACAUAUUUUUUGGAGACGGAAUCUCACUCUGUCACCUGGUUGAAGUGCAGCAGCGCGAUCAUGGCUCACUGCAACCUCUGCCUCCCGGUUUCAAGUGAUUCUCCUGCCUCCGCCUCCCGAGUAGCUGGGAUUACAGGCAUGUGCCACCCACCACGCCUGGGUAAUUUUUGUAUUUUUACUAGAGACAGGGUUUCACUAUGUGGGCUGGGCUGGUCUCAAACUCCUGACCUCUGGUGAUCUGCCCACUUCGGCCUCUCAAAGUGCUGGGAUUACAGGCAUGAGCCCCCGCACCCGGUUGCAACCAACUUUUUUGUGGAAUAUAGGAUCUUGAUGUUUGGAUGCCUGAAGGCAGAAGCUGUUGCACAUGGAAUGGAUUAAAGUUUUCCCCUCUGCAACCAAAAAUCCUUGGGGUCCCAGGAGCAAAAGAUGCUCCAUGGCACAGGACAAUUCAAGAAGGCCCGAGGUGAUAUUGAAGACUGCAGAGACAUCCAGCUCAGUUGUGUCUCCGGAGGUGUCCAGACUUUGCAGACAGACGUUGCACAUAAAGAGCUGAAAAACUGAGGAAGCUGAGCUGGAGAAGGAAGUCACUUCUACUCAGACUUGACCUGCGUCUGAUGCUAUGGGGCCUCUUAGGGUUACCUCAUGCUUCAUGCACCCCUUUCUCUGUUCUUCAGCAGAAGGCAGGGUGUAGGGAAGCGGGACUGUGCCUCCUUUCUCCCUGCCAGGCCUGACUCUCCAGGCCAAGAGACACCAUUAAGGAGUAUAAUUUGUUGAUCCAGGCUCUCCUUGCGUUUCAGUGCAGAGUGGCAUCGUUUUCUUUAUGACCUCGUAAAGUCACAGCCGAGAGGCCGAUUUGGAAAACAAACUGCCUCAGGUUGACAGAUAAUUAGAUACAGGGGACAUAUUAUAUGCCUUUGCAUAUAAAUGUGCUCCGAGGCGUGUUGGUUCAUCUGAAGUUGAGGUUAAAGGCGCGCCAGGUAUUCCUGACACAUCAGGAUAUAUAUUUUCAUACAGUCUCAGGUGCUGUGUUGGUUUUAUAGGCCUUUCAUCCUGGUGCUGACGGAUGGGGUGUGAUUGUGACCCAACUUAGAAGAAAGGGACUUCCCUUGCCCAGGGGCCUCCUGGCGUUUUUGUUUUGUGUUCUCCCUCUCCACCCCCACUUUCUCUUCUUCCUUGGGAAGGGAACUGUUCUUUGGACCUAGGAUUCUGCCGUGAGUGACUAAUGGCCUGAGUAGGAGGGACCGGGACUCAUUUUUCUUUUCUGGACUCUAAUAGGCCCAAUUAAUUCAGCUACAACAUGGGCCCUUACAAGCCUGGGACAAGCCUGGGUGGAAUUCUAUAUUGAGGCAGGAUCUUGGCAGUGGACUGCCACGGGAGCUCUGGGGAAAAAGGACCAGUUGGACUCCAGUACCUCCUGAGAGACCACCACCCUCCAUGCCUCCAGCUCAUGCCCAGCUCUGAGUCAGACGGACUCUUCCUGUUGUACUGCGAGGUUCUGCAAACCUUGAAGGGCAAACACAGUGAGGGUCUCUGACUUGCUGUGUGGACAGCCCACUCUCUGACAGCCCAGAUCAUCUGAAGCUAUCCCUGGGCUGGGAGCUGGAAGCCAUUCUUGUGAACCACUCCUUAUACCUUGAGCGAAGCCUCUUUGGGUCCCAGAAGUCUGAAGCUCCAGCUGCCUGGCAAGACUGAGUCUAGAUGAUUUCUUGGGUACCAGUAGUUUGGCAUUUAAAAAUACUGGAUUAACUGCAGUGUAAACUUAGAUUGCAUUUCAGAUUGUAAACAAUAACCCCCGUGCUUCAUGUGAUGUUAAAUCAGAAAUGAGCUAUUAGCCAAGCUAGUCCUCUUAUGAAUGAGCCCCUAACCCUGAUCCAGGGAUCGUUGAAUGAAAAUCAUCAAAAUGAUUUAUCUUCACUUUACCUAUUGUCUCACAAGAAUCUCAUCACUCAGGGAAAAGGAGGGUGUUCUUCAGGGAACGGAGGGCAUGAGGAAGGGGGAUUUCCUUAUAUCUCAACUUUCAGAGGGAGCUGAGUUGUAAACAGAUGGAACAAGGUGUGUACGAGAAGCCUCUUAGAUUUAGUCUUUCAUAUCAAGGCUCUUGCUGAAAAUCCUGGCACAGCUGUGAAAUGAGGGGAGCUCUGACACACAGAGACACGCUCCUUGCCUCACCAACCUUCCCAUACACAGUCAUGCGCACAGAGAGCAGGUACCAAUACUGAAAAUGCCCUUCCGGAGUUUCCUCAGCUUAAACCCUUGACAGCAUUAAGUGAGGAAGGAGUUUCCUUGACCUGGGGAAGAAGAACCAACUCAUAAACAUGGAACUGUGCCCACUGCCUUUUCCUUUGCUCUGUGGAUUGGCUGUGGUUCUGCCCUGGCACUCGGAUGUCAAGUUGCUCUGGCUGUUUGGGAGGAAGCCCAGCCUGGGUCAGGUGGUCAUAAGCCAGAGGCCCUGUCCUGUCCCCAGGGUUGGCCUCCCUCUGGGGUCCAGCAUGGCCCCAGUGCUGAGGCUCCCACUGCUGGGGAAUGUGCCCUCUCCUCUCUUUGUUUCCAUACCAAGGGGAUCUGCAGGGUAGAGGGCAAAUUAUUCUUAGCAGAUUGGGGCUAUGGGUAAACCAGAAGGGAUGAGGGAGAGAGGAGAGAGGAGAGGAAAGGGAAGGAGAGGGGAGGGCAGGGGAUAGGUAGAGGAGAGAGACAGCAAGAAAAAAUAGAAAAAAAAAAAAAGGAAAUAAAGGUUGCAUAUACAAAGGGAGAUUAACAAGGAGUAGAAGAAGGGAGGCAGAAGAGGGAGAAACAGAGAAGAGGAACAAAGAAGACAUUUCCAAAAAAGACGUGAGCACACCAGGCAGGAGGGAGAAAAGGAACAAGGAGAAAGGAAGGAAGUGAGACAAGCUGGGGAGAGAAGAGGCAAAGGCAGCCAGGAGCAGGCAUAGGGGAGAGAGGAGUGGGAAGCCCCAGGGGGUACAAGGAAAAAAAUGAGGGAAGCCAGUGGGAGGAAGGUGAGGAAGAGGAGAGGGAACAGGCACUGGGUGGGGAAGAGGCGAGCAGGAGAAAGCCUGUGCUGUGUGGAUUAUUGUGUGUUUGUCAUCUGGAAUGGUAUAAGCUGUAGGUACAGCAGCUCCCGCCCAUGAUUUAUGGUCCCUGUCAGGCAGGGACCGCGCUUUGUCUGCUGUAGCGUGGACGAUGAAUGCUCCGCUGUCAUCCCAGCCUGGCCGGCCUUUCUCUCUCUCUGCUCCCAACGCUGGCUCCCCAUUUCACGCCAGUGAACAUAAGCAAUCUUUUGUAAACCUGACAGUCACACUUGCUUCUUUGGAAACAUAAAGCAGAAAUGUAUGACUCGGCUUUCAUUACCCAAUUUCCUACGCUAUAUAAAAACACUCAGGAAAGACAUGUAAGUGGUCACGAAACCUGGGAAAUUGGAAGUGUCCUGGAGGAAAAAAAAAGGAAGAGUGGGGAGAAGGGGGCUGUAGGGUGGGAGGGAGCCGGUGAGGAGAGGAGACGAUGUGUCUAACUCCACCACAUCCUUCCCAGAAAACGCCGGCUGAUAAACGGGCCAUGCAGACACAUAAUUAUAUUACAUAUCUGAAUAAUAGACAUUUCCUGCCUGAAGUGUUGCUUUUUUUCCUCCUUCUCCUUUUAAC
rnacentral:lncRNA from 10 species